rnacentral:tRNA from 1 species
AUUUCGGUAGCUCAAUAAGAGCUUUACAUUGAAGUCGUAAAGGUAGUUUCACUCCGGGAUA